rnacentral:rRNA from 1 species
AUUCGUAGGGUGCGAGCGUUGUCCGGAAUUACUGGGCGUAAAGAGCUCGUAGGUGGUUUGUCGCGUCGUCUGUGAAAUUCCGGGGCUUAACUCCGGGCGUGCAGGCGAUACGGGCAUAACUUGAGUACUGUAGGGGAGACUGGAAUUCCUGGUGUAGCGGUGAUAUGCGCAGAUAUCAGGAGGAACACCGGUGGCGAAGGCGGGUCUCUGGGCAGUAACUGACGCUGAGGAGCGAAAGCAUGGGGAGCGAACAGGAUUAGAUACCCUGGUAGUCCAUGCCGUAAACGGUGGGCGCUAGGUGUAGGGGUCUUCCACGACUUCUGUGCCGUAGCUAACGCAUUAAGCGCCCCGCCUGGGGAGUACGGCCGCAAGGCUAAAACUCAAAUGAAUUGACGGGG